CGGCGAGUGAAGCGGCAACAGCCCAGAUUUGAAAUCUGGCCUUCUGGCCCGACUUGUAAUCUGCAGAUGAGUCUUUUGGCAGAGCGCCGUCCAAGUUCCCUGGAACGGGACGCCGGAGAGGGUGAGAGCCCCGUACCGACGCGCGCCGAGCCUUUGCAAAGCUCAUUCGAAGAGUCGAGUAGUUUGGAAAUGCUGCUCAAAUUGUGGGGUAAAUCUCCCAUAAGGCUAAAUACUGGCCAGAGACCGAUAGCGCACAAGUAGCGUGAGCGAAAGAUGAAAAGAGCCUUGAACAAGGGCGUCAAAAAGCAUGUGAAAUUGUUGUGAGGGAAGCGCUCGAUGCCAGACGUGGUGGCGGUUGGUUACCCGGCGUUCUCGCCGGCGCACUCUGCCGUCUCCAGGCCAGCAUCAGUUCGGCGCGGGGCUCAAUGCUUCUGGGAACGUGGCUCUUCGGAGUGUUAUAGCCCAGUUGCGACGUCCUGCGCCGGACUGAGGAACGCGCAUCUGCCCGGAUGCUGGCUUAAUGGCUUCUAGCGACCCGUCUUGAAACACGGACCAAGGAGUUGACCUAGUAUGCGAGUGUUUGGGUGUAAAGCCCUCACGCGCAGUGAAAGCGAACGCAGGUGGGAGCUUCGGCGCACCAUCGACCGAUCCUGAAGUUUACGGAUGGAUUUGAGUAGGAGCAUACUGGGUCUGACCCGAAAGAAGGUGAACUAUGCGUAAAUAGGGUGAAGCCAGAGGAAACUCUGGUGGAGGCUCGCAGCGGUUCUGACGUGCAAAUCGAUCGUCAAAUUUGCGCAUGGGGGCGAAAGACCAAUCGAACCUUCUAGUAGCUGGUUCCUGCCGAAGUUCCCUCAGGAUAGCAGAGUUGAUCCUCAGUUUCAUGAGGUAAAGCGAAUGAUUA
rnacentral:rRNA from 1 species